rnacentral:rRNA from 1 species
CUGCUAUCAGAGUGGGAUUAAGCCAUGCGAGUCAACGUAGCAAUACGUGGCAUACGGCUCAGUAACACGUAGUCAACAUGCCCAGGGGACGUGGAUAACCUCGGGAAACUGAGGCUAAACCGCGAUAGGCCAAGAUUUCUGGAACGGAUCAUGGCCAAAAUCUAUAUGGCCCCUGGAUUGGACUGCGGCCGAUCAGGCUGUUGGUGAGGUAAUGGCCCACCAAACCUGUAACCGGUACGGGCUCUGAGAGGAGGAGCCCGGAGAUGGGCACUUAGACAAGGGCCCAGGCCCUAUGGGGCGCAGCAGGCGCGAAACCUCUGCAAUAAGCGAAAGCUUGACAGGGUUACUCUGAGUGAUUUCCGCUAAGGAAGUCUUUUGGCACCUCUAAAAAUGGUGCAGAAUAAGGGGUGGGCAAGUCUGGUGUCAGCCGCCGCGGUAAUACCAGCACCCCGAGUGGUCGGGACGAUUAUUGGGCCUAAAGCAUCCGUAGCCGGUCCUGCAAGUCCUCCGUUAAAUCCACCCGCUCAACGGUUGGGCCGCGGGGGAUACUACAGGGCUAGGAGGCGGGAGAGGCAAGCGGUACUCGAUGGGUAGGGGUAAAAUCCACUGAUCCAUUGAAGACCACCAGUGGCGAAGGCGGCUUGCCAGAACGCGCUCGACGGUGAGGGAUGAAAGCUGGGGGAGCAAACCGGAUUAGAUACCCGGGUAGUCCCAGCUGUAAACGAUGCAGACUCGGUGAUGGGCUGGCUUCGUGCCAACUCGGUGCCGCAGGGAAGCCGUUAAGUCUGCCGCCUGGGGAGUACGGUCGCAAGACU